AUAAAUGGAAUAUACAAAAAGUGUCCGAUGAUGGAUGACAACAGGUAAGUAUUGGAAUACCAGUUAAAGAACUUUUUUAAAUCGAUAUUAAAAUGAGUGUUAUUGUGUCUGUUUGUAUGGAAGCUUCUACAUAUGUUAGUUAUUUUCCAUGACUUUGAAUGUCAUGGCGAUUUUUAUUUUAUUAAGUUCACAUGUAGGAUUUAAUAAUGUCUCCUAUGAAAAAAUGUCCACUGGACACAUUUUCAUAGUAAAUACUGUCCAUAGACACAAUUUCCUAUAAAAUGUGUCCUCAGGUAUGAAAAAGUGUCGAUGUAUUCGACACUCACAUAAAUAUACUGUCACUUACUUGAAAGGGGUCACACUUGCAACACUGCAAUAACAUAUACAGGAACUUGCAUACGCCAUACAAUGGGACUUAUAUAAUAUUUGCUCAUCAAGAACAAAUGCACUCAUUCUUUUAUGUACGUUUUAAUAUAACCCAAUAAUCUUGAAAAGUUGUAAUAAAAACAUAAUCAACCCAGUUGGUUUAUACUCAUCUUUUUUUAUUUAUAUUUACAUAUUUUUCAAUGGCCCUUUUUAUUAUUUUUACCGUACACCUUUUACAUUAUAUUAAAAAUCAAAGAUAUUUAUGAAUAACAAUUAAUAUAUAUCUUUUUUUUAUUCCUUAUAAAUAUAUUUUUUUAUUGAGGCUGGAUCGACUUUACAUAUGGGCCGUAUCGAAAUUGGACUGGAUCGUCGUGGGACGAAUCGACUUGGGCCGGAUCAACGUGGGGCCGGAUCGACCCGAAAGCUGAAUUUACAAUCAUAUUAUAUACAUAUAAAUUAAACAAACAAUUCUCGCUUGAAUUGUUUUACAUUGUCUUAUCGGGGCCUUUUAUAGCUGACUAUAUGCGGUACGGGCUUUGCUCAUUGUUGAAGGUCGUACGGUGACCUAUAAUUGUUAAUGUUUGUGUCAUUCUGGUCUUGUGGAUUGGUCUCAUUGGCAAUCAUACAACAUUUACUUUUUUAUAUUAUUGCAUAUAUUCCAAAUAGAAUUAUGAACUCAAGUACAAAUAGUUUAUAGUUAAUCUAAUUAUCCUAUAUGCAGACUGAUAUUUCAUAUCAUGUUUUUCAGGAAUGAUACAUGCACAAAAUUGGUGCUACACAUUUUAACAAUUUUCUAAGUGGAUUGAAUGUACUUUCUGUGAAUUCAUCAACAAUAUAUGAAUAAAAAGGAGAAUAAAACUGGAAAGAAAAUAUUUGAAGUUGCCAAAAAAUCCUGUAAAUUAAUUCAGGAGAAGAAACAGUUUUAAACAUGGUUGAUAUAAUGAGUAGUUAGAAGGCAUAAGGUUGAGGCCAGUUUUGUUGCAGAAUGGCAUGUUUUUGGUACUGGUUGGACCUAUGAAAGUAAUACAGGUAAAUACAGCAUAAGAACGUUCCCCAGGAAAAUUUACGCUGAAAGUUUGGAAAAGGGGAUAAGAAAUUGAAGAGGCAAAGAGAUAACCAGAAAACACAGAAUAGAAAUAAAAAGAAUAUAAAGAGGCCCCAU